rnacentral:lncRNA from 1 species
UACAAAAGCUUAAAUAUCUACAAUUACACUUUGACUAUUUCGAGAUCUUCCACAUUCUUCAUUUGGAGAGUGCCCGAGCUGGCUCCCUAUCUAGUCUCGCUACCUCUGAUUGCGAUGAGCUUGAAAAAUUCUUCAUCAAGCAUCUCAAGAGCUCGGGCAUUGACUCAGAGGAAGAAGUUCACCAGGUCCAAAUCAGAUAUGAGUUGAGUUGUAUUGACCCAUUCAUCAACUUCUUGACAGAUGAAACCUUGCUGGC